GUAAAAUAUUUAUUACCCGUUAAAGCGAUUGAAGGCCACCCAUCCAUUGCCUUUUAGAAACCAGCAUAAAGAGUGAUAUCUUGAACUAACAAAGAUGGCUGGCACAGGCAGACCGACUGAUACGACAUUUCUGCAAUGCGGUUGUAACUCUGCUAGAGCUGUGGCAAUCCGGUGGAAACAUCCAGCAGCAAUUCAGAGGAAAAGCUCUUCACUGGAUCAUGAGAGAUCUGCACACAGGAACAAAGUCCCACCAUCCCAUACUAAAGGACAAAGUAGAGUCACGGCUAGAGUCCAGGCCUCAUCUGCUGCAGAAGCAAAAUCGGGAGGACAAAAUUCCAAACGCAGUAACUACAAGAAACUCCGAAAAUAGCGUGUACGCCAGCUACGUUCUCCUUGUUCCAGUCUGGCUGCCCUUUCGAGGCCGUAACGAAUCCAUUGUAUCUACCACUGACCGCUUUUUAUCCUGAAUUUUCUGGUGAGAUCAGCGGAUUUAGCUGUUCCUUCUGGUUGGCUGUUCUGAAGCUGCGUGAGCGCUGCACAGGGGAAAGUGCAGUCAACUGCGGCUUUAUUUAUGAGUUUCUAUACAGCAUCUCUGUUUCAAGGUGAGGGAACAAAUACGUGCCUCAUGUUGGACGAUGAGGAAGCUUGCAUCAACAAUUCAUUUGCAAAGACCUGUAUGUUAGCUGCUUUGACAAGAAUGCCGUCACUAAUUAAAAUAGUGCUUUUAAUGACAAAUGAGCAGGAAUGUUCAUUAAAACCUGUUGCAGACUAAUUUAACAGAUUUCAUAAUCUAGUGACUAAGAAGAGAAGGAAGUGGUGUUGGAAUGUACCAGAUAUGAUUUAAUAGUGCAUUUAAUAAACAAGAAAAGUUCAAUAUGUAUAAUUUAAUU
rnacentral:lncRNA from 1 species